GACGAACGCUGGCGGCGUGCUUAACACAUGCAAGUCGAACGGAGAGGCCCUGCUUUUGUGGGGUGCUCGAGUGGCGAACGGGUGAGUAACACGUGAGUAACCUGCCCUUGACUUUGGGAUAACUUCAGGAAACUGGGGCUAAUACCGGAUAGGAGCUCCUGCUGCAUGGUGGGGGUUGGAAAGUUUCGGCGGUUGGGGAUGGACUCGCGGCUUAUCAGCUUGUUGGUGGGGUAGUGGCUUACCAAGGCUUUGACGGGUAGCCGGCCUGAGAGGGUGACCGGCCACAUUGGGACUGAGAUACGGCCCAGACUCCUACGGGAGGCAGCAGUGGGGAAUAUUGCACAAUGGGCGGAAGCCUGAUGCAGCAACGCCGCGUGCGGGAUGACGGCCUUCGGGUUGUAAACCGCUUUCGCCUGUGACGAAGCGUGAGUGACGGUAAUGGGUAAAGAAGCACCGGCUAACUACGUGCCAGCAGCCGCGGUGAUACGUAGGGUGCGAGCGUUGUCCGGAUUUAUUGGGCGUAAAGGGCUCGUAGGUGGUUGAUCGCGUCGGAAGUGUAAUCUUGGGGCUUAACCCUGAGCGUGCUUUCGAUACGGGUUGACUUGAGGAAGGUAGGGGAGAAUGGAAUUCCUGGUGGAGCGGUGGAAUGCGCAGAUAUCAGGAGGAACACCAGUGGCGAAGGCGGUUCUCUGGGCCUUUCCUGACGCUGAGGAGCGAAAGCGUGGGGAGCGAACAGGCUUAGAUACCCUGGUAGUCCACGCUGUAAACGGUGGGUACUAGGUGUGGGGUCCAUUCCACGGGUUCCGUGCCGUAGCUAACGCUUUAAGUACCCCGCCUGGGGAGUACGGCCGCAAGGCUAAAACUCAAAGGAAUUGACGGGGCCCCGCACAAGCGGCGGAGCAUGCGGAUUAAUUCGAUGCAACGCGUAGAACCUUACCUGGGUUUGACAUGGAUCGGGAGUGCUCAGAGAUGGGUGUGCCUCUUUUGGGGUCGGUUCACAGGUGGUGCAUGGCUGUCGUCAGCUCGUGUCGUGAGAUGUUGGGUUAAGUCCCGCAACGAGCGCAACCCUUGUUCACUGUUGCCAGCACGUUAUGGUGGGGACUCAGUGGAGACCGCCGGGGUCAACUCGGAGGAAGGUGGGGAUGACGUCAAGUCACCAUGCCCCUUAUGUCCAGGGCUUCACGCAUGCUACAAUGGCUGGUACAGAGAGUGGCGAGCCUGUGAGGGUGAGCGAAUCUCGGAAAGCCGGUCUCAGUUCGGAUUGGGGUCUGCAACUCGACCUCAUGAAGCCGGAGUCGCUAGUAAUCGCAGAUCAGCAACGCUGCGGUGAAUACGUUCCCGGG
rnacentral:rRNA from 1 species